UAGCGAGGGAUACAGGUGCAGUGUGGU
rnacentral:piRNA from 1 species